AUAUAUAUAUAUGAAAAAAAACUACGGACAAAGUCAUUUUUAAAAGAUGACAUAAAUAGCUCUGUUUGGAAAUAAUAAACCAUUCUCGACUACUGUGGUGAUUUUGUAAGGGAGUGC